AGUGGCCGGGAGGACGCGGGGCGGCGGGCAGGGCCUCCCAAGCCCGGCUGUCCUCGGCCCGUGCGCGGCGCCCGGAGUCCCACUCCUCCCGAUGCUGUCCCCCGCGCCCGGAGGCCGAGCCAAUUCUCUGGGAAGUUCCCGGCUUGGGAGCGGAGCGGCCGGUCGGAAGAACCUCGGGUGCUGGCGCGCCUGAAGUUGCAGACCAGACUGAAAUGUGCGAGACAUGUGCCUUUUUCUUAGGAAAGGCCCCAGGUACCAGAAAGGUUUUCAGCGCGCCGACCUACGGGGCUAAGAGGGCUGAAAUAAGAACCAGUGACUGAGCGCCGGGAGGUUUAAGGUUUAUGGAAGAUGUUCAUCGCGCCGUACCCUACUAGAGGUUUGGGGACGUGGGACACAGCCCCUGCGUUCCCGCCGCGGACCCCGUGAUAAAUACACAGACACACAAAAUCACUACCGCCUUGAAUCUGGACAGCUACCUCAGGUGGUUAAUAUCUAACAGGAGCAGAGUGGAGCUCAGAAAGACUCAGCGUGGGUGCUGGGUUCCGGCGCGACCAGCCUGAUACCUAGGUCAGCAUCUCAGCCACACAAGCAGGCGGCAGUUCUGUCAGGAAUUACUACAUCUGGUGAUUCCACUUCUCAUAGCUCACCGCUGGGAGAAUAAUUCCUCAGGAUUAACAAGAUCUAUUCCAGAGGAUCCUCACUGCUGAAGCGAUUUUAGAAGACAGUGUGGUCUGUUGACAGUAUGGAAUAUUCUUUACCCAUCAGAUAUGAUCUGUAUGUGAUUGGAAGGAAAUAAACCAACUGCUAACAACACUUCUCUAUAGAUGUUCAGAUUCAGUAAUUUUUGUAUUUUUCUCUACACUUUUGUUUUUUCAAAUUUCCUAGCACAAGAAGACUUUGACUUACUGCACAUGUCAUUUUAAAUGACCUUUAUAAAGACUCUAUAGAAACAAUUUGCUAUGUCAUGAAAGUAACAAUCAAAAAAAGUAUGCACAUUGUGGCCACAAAGUAAAACUUGUGUGGAAGGUAAUGUGCAAAAAAAAAAAAAAAUGAGUAAGCUGGUGGUGAGUGACCAAAGGAAAAGGCUUUGUAAAAAACUUUUUUUUUUUUUUUUGAGACGGAGUCUCGCUCUGUCACCCAGGCUGGAGUGCAGUGACGCAGUCUCGGCUCA
rnacentral:lncRNA from 1 species